GCUUAUGGUCACACUACCCUCAAACACCUGAUCUCGUCUGAUCUCGGAAGCUUAAGCAGGGUUUGGCAUUGGUUAGUAACUGGAUGGAAGACCACCUGGGAAUACCAGGUGCUUUAAGCU
ensembl:rRNA 5S_rRNA 5S ribosomal RNA